rnacentral:rRNA from 1 species
UGGGGAAUCUUGCGCAAUGGGCGGAAGCCUGACGCAGCGACGCCGCGUGCGGGAAGGAGGCCUUCGGGUCGUAAACCGCUUUCAGCAGGGACGAGGCCGCGAGGUGACGGUACCUGCAGAAGAAGCCCCGGCUAACUACGUGCCAGCAGCCGCGGUAAUACGUAGGGGGCAAGCGUUAUCCGGAUUCAUUGGGCGUAAAGCGCGCGUAGGCGGCCUGUUAGGUCGGGAGUCAAAUCCGGGGGCUCAACCCCCGCCCGCUCCCGAUACCGGCGGGCUUGAGUCUGGCAGGGGAAGGCGGAAUUCCAAGUGUAGCGGUGGAAUGCGCAGAUAUUUGGAAGAACACCGGUGGCGAAGGCGGCCUUCUGGGCCACGACUGACGCUGAGGCGCGAAAGCUAGGGGAGCGAACA